AUUGAACGCUGGCGGCAGGCCUAACACAUGCAAGUCGAGCGGAUGAAGGGAGCUUGCUCCUGGAUUCAGCGGCGGACGGGUGAGUAAUGCCUAGGAAUCUGCCUGGUAGUGGGGGAUAACGUCCGGAAACGGGCGCUAAUACCGCAUACGUCCUGAGGGAGAAAGUGGGGGAUCUUCGGACCUCACGCUAUCAGAUGAGCCUAGGUCGGAUUAGCUAGUUGGUGGGGUAAAGGCCUACCAAGGCGACGAUCCGUAACUGGUCUGAGAGGAUGAUCAGUCACACCGGAACUGGGACACGGUCCCGGCUCCUAAGGGAGGCAGGAGGUGGGAAUAUUGGACAAUGGGGGGAAGCCUGAUCCAGGCCUGGCGGGUGUGUGGAGAAGGUCUUCGGAUUGUAAAGCACUUUAAGUUGGGAGGAAGGGCAGUAAGUUAAUACCUUGCUGUUUUGACGUUACCAACAGAAUAAGCACCGGCUAACUUCGUG
rnacentral:rRNA from 1 species